rnacentral:rRNA from 1 species
UACGUAGGGUGCGAGCGUUGUCCGGAAUUAUUGGGCGUAAAGAGCUCGUAGGCGGUCUGUCGCGUCGAUCGUGAAAACUUGGGGCUUAACCCUGAGCUUGCGGUCGAUACGGGCAUGACUGGAGCUCGGCAGGGGAGACUGGAAUUCCUGGUGUAGCGGUGAAAUGCGCAGAUAUCAGGAGGAACACCAAUGGCGAAGGCAGCUCGCUGGGACGUGACUGACGCUGAGACGCGAAAGCGUGGGGAGCAAACAGG